CUUGAAAACUCCGGUGGUACGGGAUGAGCCCGCGUCCGAUUAGCCAGUUGGCGGGGUAACGGCCCACCAAAGCGACGAUCGGUAGCCGGCCUGAGAGGGUGGACGGCCACAUUGGGACUGAGACACGGCCCAAACUCCUACGGGAGGCAGCAGUGGGGAAUAUUGCACAAUGGGGGAAACCCUGAUGCAGCGACGCCGCGUGAGUGAAGAAGCGCCUCGGCGCGUAAAGCUCUGUCAGCAGGAACGAUAAUGACGGUACCUGAAGAAGAAGCCCCGGCUAACUACGUGCCAGCAGCCGCGGUAAUACGUAGGGGGCAAGCGUUAUCCGGAUUUACUGGGUGUAAAGGGAGCGUAGACGGCGGGGCAAGUCUGGAGUGAAAGGCCGGGGCCCAACCCCGGGACCGCUCUGGAAACUGCCCGGCUGGAGUGCGGGAGAGGUAAGCGGAAUUCCUAGUGUAGCGGUGAAAUGCGUAGAUAUUAGGAGGAACACCAGCGGCGAAGGCGGCUUACUGGACCGUGACUGACGUUGAGGCUCGAAAGCGUGGGGAGCAAACAGGAUUAGAUACCCUGGUAGUCCACGCCGUAAACGAUGAUCACUAGGUGUCGGGGGUUA
rnacentral:rRNA from 1 species